rnacentral:lncRNA from 1 species
CCGGGAGGGGUGCCUGACAGGGGCGCCCUCCUCACGUUCCACAGUCAGCUUGCCCUUCCCUCCAGCUUUCUUUCUGACGCUAGCAGAAGAUUAGGACUCUGGGAGAGAGAGGAGUCCUGGACUCCAAGGACUGGUUAACUUGGAGGCCCCACCCUUCUGUUCAAAGCUAGCCUAACUCGGAGAACUCAGAGUAAAGCUCUUUGAAGGCAAACAUCCUAAAUGUCAAUCCAGUAUCCACGGGGGCGAGAGACAGCAGGUGAGAAACCUGGAAGUGAACCUGAAGAGGCGAAGCUGCAGAACGCCAGCAAACAGAUCGUGCAGAAUGCCAUCCUGCGCGCUGUGCAGCAGGUCUCCCAGGAGAGUCGGCGGAGGGAAGCCAGAGCCAGCGGCACCCAGGGCAGCCCCCAGCGGGGCGUGGGGGAGUUAACCAAGAAGCAUGAGAAGAAGUAACACCGUGGAUUCGGCCCUUGUCACACUGCUUGGUCUUCAGCCUUCCUCUUAGUAUAGGAUGUGUCGCCAAAAUGUUGCCAGUAAAGCAAACCAAAGUGUCAUAGGCACCUAGCAGUAGGAUGAACUUGCACGAGCCCCUCGUUGGGAUGCACUGUUCUGACAAAAGUGCAUUAGACGAUUCUGUUUAAACACAGUGCCUCGGAAACAUAGUCGGGCCAAACACGACACUGUAAUUGCAAAAGUAGUUUUGCAGCACAAUUCCUUUUUAAAAUCUUUUUUUUUUAAAAUGAUUCUGUCUUGUUUAUUUAAUUUUGCCUUUUGUGCAUUUUUUCUGUGAAUUUAACCAGCAGUCCUUUUUUGCUGAAACAUUGAGUGCAGUACUGAGAUCUGUAUAAUAUUUUAUAAAGACAUGCUGGAAGGGUGAAGGAAUAUUGUUUGAGUGCCCCUCAAAUAUGGAAUUGAAGGUUUUAAUAAAGUGGGUUCAGGUCCAAGAUCAAAUUAAGCAAAAAGCAAAUCCUAAGACCAAGUCCCUCAGGAUCUUAACAAGGUGUGUAUUUAUAUUACUUUUUUAAAAAGGAGGAAUUUCGCUUUUCCUGUAUUCAGUCUGAAAUCUCUCAGUUGUUUGAUACUCGGUAUUUACUCUCUGUGCAGAAAUCCUUUGGAAAUAUUACGGAUUACUUUUUCCAUCUCAAGAUGAAAAUAAGACAGGUACAUCUAUAUGCAUGAGUUGUCAAUGUUAGCAACCCCUUGAAGAGCAGCAAGAAUUGUAGGUUGCAUCCUGGAGAUACAGUAGUGCCUGAUGAUGGUAUAUGGUGCCUUUGGGAGGAGCUCUUGGAUCUUAUAAAUGCUGUGGGGCCUUCAGGCUAUGCAUCUGCACUAGUACCUUGCUAAUAGGAAAUUUCCUUGUCCCACCCACGAAUUACAUUUUUCUUGAGAUUAUGAAAAUCAUAUGUAUUGGGAAUGAAUGUUGCUUCAAAUGGGAAAAUCAUUCUCUCAACUUUCUGGAACAGCAAAAGACAGUGGGAACAGUCGAGCAACCGUGUUGUGAAUGCAGUUAUGGAAGCGUGUGUGUGAGUGAAUAAAGCCAUCUCCGCAGCAGAAUGACUUCUGCUUCACCCCCAUGGGGGUAACACAUAGUUUUCUAUGUCCUUAGCAUCCCAUUUCCUGGGCUUUGCAGCAGUUAUUGAGUUGGAGCUAUUGGGAACAGAGGGAGAAUUUGGCCUUUGUUAGAGAUCUUUUGGCUUCGGGGUGUCAGUGUCUACAUUUGAUAGUUUUUUUAAAAAGCAAAGUAUCAGCAUCUAAAGGGUGACAGAUAUGAAGAUCUGCUUCUAAAAUUCCAACAUGUUACACUUUCCAGAAGGGAUAUUAUUGAGAAAUGGAUGAACACAGUCUCUUAUUAGUUCUCUUAGACCAUCUCACACCAUGCACAGAUGGAAUAAGUUCACAGGGAGGAUGUCUGUGGGAGGGAGCAGAGGGGUAAACAUUUAAAUGUGGUUUAUUCAUAAUUUUCUCUGAAUAGUUCUCAUGACAAUUGAAGAAUGAGUUCAAGGUGACCUGAAGUCAUAUAACUGAGUAGAACUAUACCGCAUAGUUAAUAGGAAUAAAAUAUUAGGGGAAAUUAUUCAAGAGUAUACGCACACAGACACACACACACACACACACACACACACACACACAAAUAAACCCACUGCUUGUAGUUUGCAAAUGAUCUGACACUCUGUCUGCUAGGAUAUCUGAGUAGAAUCAGCCUUGGACUUGGUUGUCAUAUGGCAGAAACACAUAAACACACUCUCUUUCCUCUCUGGUGUGUCUGUGUUAAUACCUUGGGGAUCUUUGAGAAUAUCUGAUUAACCUCUGUAUCUAAAUGUUGUUUAUAAAUAAAACAUAUCCAGCUU